AUUUAAAAUCCCCUUUCUCUAGCGCUUGAAAGAAACAAUUUUGUUUCAUACCUAAAAAGCCCUAAUUUUUUUUUUCCAUUUCUCGGUGAAAGCUUGAUUUAGAUGGAGGCAGGGCAGCCGAAGCACAAGAAAUUAGCAAAGCGCGGCAAGAAUGCAUACAAUUGUCAAAUAAAUAAUCUUGACGAUGGCUGUCUCAUGCUAAUUUUCAGCUUCCUCUGCCCCAUUCCAGAUCGGUAUAACACCGCCCUCGUUUGCCGCAGAUGGCGUUUCCUAGCAUGCCACCCUCGGCUUUGGUUGCGAGUUGAUAGGUCUGUCAAUGAUUUAUCUGAGCCUGGAGUUUACCCCAAUAUUGAGACAGCUGUCUCUGUGGCAAGGCCUGGGGACACUAUAUUGAUUGCAGCUGGAGGGAUUCACCGCACGUCCAAUAUUCAGAUCAAAAAGCCUCUUUGUCUGAUCGGUGCCGGUGAACUUCCUGAUGAUACAACACUCAUCUGCUCCCGUGGUUCUGAGAGUGCCCUGGAGUUCUUGGCAACUUGUAAACUGGCUAAUCUGACUGUGAGAGCAGAGCUCGGUUGCUGCCUUCUGCACAGGAGCGGGAGGCUAACGAUUGAUGGCUGUAUUCUCCAAUGCGAGACGAAUCCCUUAGACCAUCUCUCUCAUGCCAUUGUGACCACUGCAAGCCCUCCCAAUGGAGUUCCAGCUGCACUAAAGAACAAUGGUGAUUGUGUUACUGUAAUGCGAACAAGGAUCGAGGGAGGCGCAAAGGCUGUCUUGACAAGCGGAACACUCUCCCUGCAGCGAGUACGAGUCAUAUAUACUCGCACUUCCCUGUUUUUCUGGUUCAGUGUUGAGCUUUCAGACUGAUUCGUGUCGCCAUCCAAGCUAAUGCAGUGCUUACUUUUUACGUAUCUUCUCAUUGCAAUGGCCGCUCUACCCUAAUUUCCAAUUCAACUCAAGACAAGGGGCUGGUCUCGAUCUCGCUUGGUGGUAGCAUUUACUUUGAAGGAUUAACUUUGAUAUAUAAAAAUAAUAUUAAGAGAGAUUAAUUGGCAAACAGGAGCUGCUCUGUUUCUGGUGAGAAAUAUAUAGAAAUUCAAUUCAAUACAAAGUUGAGGCAACAUGGAACAAAUCGAAGGAAAGCAGAGGCUAAUUACAGAGUUCACGAGCAAUCCCAAGGCGAGAAUUGACAGUGUCGAACAAAAUCCUGAGAUUCUGCUGCUGCAAAUUGGCUAUCACAUUGAGCACCGAGUUGACAUUGUUCGGCGCCGCAGCCAUCGCCAAGCACGCCAACGACCCCGAGCUACUGUGGAUCAACACGUUCUCCAUCGGCAGCUUCAAAUCCAGUCCCGUAAAAUGAAACGUGACUGCCGGCGCUAUCUCUUCGUUUGUCGCUGCGAAGCAUGUGUCGAACGCCCCCAACGAGCUUAUCGCCCCCGUGAUCUGCUUCCUGAAUUCAUCACGGAUGCUGUUGUAUACGGGUUGGACGAACCGGGUUAUCACCGUACCCGAAUCUAUUAUGGUACCCGCCCCGGUGCUCGGGUCGAACGCUAGGAGCUCCGGUGCUAUUGCCACGUUGACCCGUCCCACGCUGACUCCGGUCAGGUUCACGUAGUAUAACGAUGGGCGGUGCGGGUUCUUGAGGAGCGGGGUGGUCCGGAUGUUCUUGGGUUGGCCCACCGGUCCGAGCUUGAGUGAGCCCGAGAAGUAGUACGACUUGAAGCUGGGCAGGCAGUACGAGAAUACGCCCGAGUAGACCGACCCGGUUUGAGAGAGCAGAGACAUUGAUCCGCGGCCCAGACCCAAUAGCCCUUGGGGCGGGAUCGACCCGCCCGAGACCGCGUUGAUGCACCCGAAAGCGUAGUUGGGAAUGGCGUCGUUGCCUAAUGUGAGGGUGUCGCGUGAUAGCGUGGCCGAGAGGGUCGACCCAGAGCCGUAGGAUCGGUUAAAGAGGCACGAACCCGACCCGACCGUCGGGCACGAGACCCCGCUGACUUGGGUGCAUUCGGGUACGGAGCAGUCCAACGAGGCGUAGGUGGAGGAGGCAUUGGAGGCGAAGAGGGUGGACGAGCAGCCGGUGCAACCGCUGCAUGGGAACCAUGCAGCGUCGUUGCUGGUGUCCAAGACCACGAAGAAGAGCUGGCCCGGAGUCCCGAUCUUGACCCGGACGACGUAGUUACCCGUGUUUAUAACCUGGCCCGGGGCGAUAGGGGCGGAGGCGGGUUUGGGCGAGACGAGGCUCGACAAGUAGGAAACCCUUUUCGGGUCGCUGGAGGCCAUGGUGAGGAUGGUGUCGACCCAUGAAGUGGCGGGUUUGGGCGACACCAACGGUGAGCAUUUGCCGUAAAUGUGGAUCACGGAUAGAUCCGAUUCGGGAGAAGAACAUGGGUCAAAAACCGCACCAUUGCAAGCUGUGGAGAGACAAAUGAAGAAGAUUAAUGUUGCAAGAAUAUUGGAAGAGUGUUCCAUUGGAUUGUUUGAUGAGGAUAAGGGCGAU